rnacentral:rRNA from 1 species
AUACGGAGGAUGCGAGCGUUAUCCGGAUUUAUUGGGUUUAAAGGGUGCGUAGGCGGAAAGGUAAGUCAGCGGUGAAACUCAGGUGCUCAACACCUGCCGUGCCGUUGAUACUGUUUUUCUGGAAUGCGGAUGCUGUGGGAGGAAUGUGUGGUGUAGCGGUGAAAUGCAUAGAUAUCACACAGAACACCGAUUGCGAAGGCAUCUCACAAAUCCGUGAUUGACGCUGAGGCACGAAAGUGUGGGGAUCGAACAGGAUUAGAUACCCUGGUAGUCCACACUGUAAACGAUGAUAACUCGCUGUUGGCGAUAUACAGUCAGUGGCCAAGCGAAAGCGAUAAGUUAUCCACCUGGGGAGUACGUCGGAAACGAUGAAACUCAAAUGAAUUGGCGGG